rnacentral:rRNA from 1 species
GACGAACGCUGGCGGCAUGCCUAAUACAUGCAAGUCGAGCGAACAGAUGAAGUGCUUGCACUUCUGACGUUAGCGGCGAACGGGUGAGUAACACGUAAGGAAUCUACCUAUAAGCGGGGGAUAACAUUCGGAAGCGGGUGCUAAUACCGCAUAAUAUCUUCUUCCGCAUGGAAGAAGAUUGAAAGACGGCUCUGCUGUCACUUAUAGAUGACCUUGCGGUGCAUUAGUUAGUUGGUGGGGUAACGGCCUACCAAGACGAUGAUGCAUAGCCGACCUGAGAGGGUGAUCGGCCACAGUGGGACUGAGACACGGCCCAAACUCCUACGGGAGGCAGCAGUAGGGAAUCUUCCGCAAUGGGCGAAAGCCUGACGGAGCAAUGCCGCGUGAGUGAAGAAGGCCUUCGGGUCGUAAAACUCUGUUAUAAGAGAAGAACAAAUUGUAGAGUAACUGCUACAGUCUUGACGGUAUCUUAUCAGAAAGCCACGGCUAACUACGUGCCAGCCGCCGCGGUAA